rnacentral:ncRNA from 1 species
CAAAAAACAUAGAUGAGGAGUAUUAAGAGCCUAUCGUUUUCAGAGAGCUGUCGGAUGGUGCAAGACAGCAGCGUAAUCUCCCAACUCGCCUCGGAGUUCUUUUGCUGAAAUGACUGAUGAAAAAAAUUUCGUCAAGUAACAGAAAUAGAAACAACUACAUCGCUAGGUUCGAAAGAACCUCACCAAGCCGAUGAGUUGUACCUUGUUACUAGACUCGAAAAGACCUCGUCAAGUAACAUAGGCAGAAGCGGGACUUCCCGUUACAGAAGCAAUGAGUGCAUUUCGCAGGAUGCGGAAUGAAUGAGAGUGGUACCACGGAAAUUCAAGCCUUUUCGUCUCUUUU